UGCUCUGAGAUCCCUCCUACCUUCUUGUCCUACGCUCUUCCCUCAAUCCAGGUCCAUAUCGUCCCCAAAUCUAUAUCCUCAGCUUCUCCUCUGCUCUGGAGGGGUCCCCUCCCCUCACUGAUCCUGUUCUCAUUCAACUUCUACUCCUCUCCUCCCAUUCCCACCUUUCCUGCCACACCAGUUCACUCUUCUCCUAGUCUGUUUGUCCCUUGUGCCACCCUGCUUUUGUAUAUUCUCCUUGCCGAUCUGGAAUAGUCUCUUCUUUCUCUUCCCUAAGAGUCUUCCAAAGAGCUGACCCUCCGGGGAAAGCCUAUCUUAGUAAAUCCAUUCUAAUUAGAGGUAAAAGGGUCAUCAUCACACCCUUCUGAGGCCUUGCUUCAACAAAGGGUCGGCCCUUUCUCUCAAUCUUGAUGAAACAAUGGGAAUCCUGUCAGGAUGGUUCCUCAAGCUCAAUCUUUCUUUCUAUGUGGUUUCAGAGUCCAAUGCCUCCAGCAGCCGGUGUUUGGCAGGUUGGUGCACAGGGACUGAUUGGUGUGAAAUUCUGGAGCCUGGAUGACUAUCUUUCUUCUGAUAGGCUUGAUGCUGAGAUAAAAUCCUGCCCAGAUAUUUCCCCCAACUCUAGCCCUUGGCUUCUAGUUUCAUUGAGGUAAGGGUGGGGUGGAAGAAGAUUUAGGGAGAGAAAUAGUCUGUCCUUUUGUUAGGGAGUGAAGAUGGAUCCCCUGCGUGUCCGAACUACUAUCUGGUAAGAAAUGUGGCUGCUGAGCCUCAAGCUGUGCUUCCUCAUCCCACCAUCCCUUCCCAUCUCUGGAACUCGUCCAAGGGCAGGAUUGGGCCGCUCAAUGUGGUAGGGGGCUGGGCAAAAAGAAUGGCCAAUAAACAGCAAGGAAUUCUA